CACGUAGGUGGCGAGCGUUACUCGGAAUCACUGGGCAUAAAGCGCGCGUAGGCGGCCACGUAAGUCAGGUGUGAAAGCCCGCGGCUCAACCGCGGAACUGCGCCUGAUACUGCGUGGCUAGAGGCCGGUAGGGGAGAGUGGAAUUCCUGGUGGAGCGGUGAAAUGCGUUGAUAUCAGGAGGAACGCCGGUGGCGAAAGCGGCUCUCUGGUCCGGUUCUGACGCUGAGGUGCGAAAGCCAGGGGAGCAAACGGG
rnacentral:misc_RNA from 1 species